rnacentral:rRNA from 1 species
AUAGAACGCUGGCGGAAUGCUUUACACACGCAAGUCGAACGGCAGCACGGACUUCGGUCUGGUGGCGAGUGGCGAACGGGUGAGUAAUGUAUCGGAACGUGCCCAGUCGUGGGGGAUAACGUAGUGAAAAUUACGCUAAUACCGCAUACGAUCUAUGGAUGAAAGCGGGGGAUCGCAAGACCUCGCGCGAUCGGAGCGGCCGAUAUCAGAUUAGGUAGUUGGUGGGGUAAAGGCCCACCAAGCCAACGAUCUGUAGCUGGUCUGAGAGGACGACCAGCCACACUGGAACUGAGACACGGUCCAGACUCCGACGGGGAGCAGCAGUUGGGAAUUUUGGACAAUGGGCGAAAGCCUGAUCCAGCCAUUCCGCGUGCAGGAUGAAGGCCCUCGGGUUGUAAACUGCUUUUGUACAGAACGAAAAGGUUUCUACUAAUACUAGGAGCUCAUGACGGUACUGUAAGAAUAAGCACCGGCUAACUACGUGCCAGCAGCCGCCGUAA